AGAGAGAGAGACAGAGAGAGAGAAGACAAUCUCAUGUGUCAAAAGGAAGCGUAAAGGAAAUUAACCAUUGGAAUCUUCGUAUUUCAUCGAAUCAGGUUGCUUAGUGAGCCUUGAGGCCAGAGAUAAUUUCCUAAAAGGAAAAGGUUAAAGUUAUAAAAUCGCUAAAGUGAAAAAUGGGACAUGAUGGACGUCAUUCAACAUUCUUUUUGCAUCACAAUUUUUUUUUCUGAGUUAAAAAAAAAAAAAGAGUGA
rnacentral:misc_RNA from 1 species